rnacentral:rRNA from 1 species
GCUGAGCACUCCUACGGGAGGCAGCAGUGGGGAAUAUUGCACAAUGGGCGCAAGCCUGAUGCAGCCAUGCCGCGUGUAUGAAGAAGGCCUUCGGGUUGUAAAGUACUUUCAGCAGUGAGGAAGGUGGGUAUGUUAAUAGCAUAUUCAUUUGACGUUAGCUGCAGAAGAAGCACCGGCUAACUCCGUGCCAGCAGCCGCGGUAAUACGGAGGGUGCGAGCGUUAAUCGGAAUUACUGGGCGUAAAGCGCAUGCAGGUGGUUUGUUAAGUCAGAUGUGAAAGCCCGGGGCUCAACCUCGGAAUUGCAUUUGAAACUGGCAAACUAGAGUACUGUAGAGGGGGUAGAAUUUCAGGUGUAGCGGUGAAAUGCGUAGAGAUCUGAAGGAAUACCGGUGGCGAAGGCGGCCCCCUGGACAGAUACUGACACUCAGAUGCGAAAGCGUGGGGAGCAAACAGGAUUAGAUACCCUGGUG